rnacentral:rRNA from 1 species
GGGGAAUUUUGCGCAAUGGACGAAAGUCUGACGCAGCAACGCCGCGUGGGUGAUGAAGGUCUUCGGAUUGUAAAACCCUGUCGUCAGGGACGAAGGUAGGGGGUUUAAUACGCCCUUUGCUUGACGGUACCUGGAGAGGAAGCCCCGGCUAACUCUGUGCCAGCAGCCGCGGUAAUACAGAGGGGGCAAGCGUUAUUCGGAAUUAUUGGGCGUAAAGGGCGCGUAGGCGGUUUCUUAAGUAGGAUGUGUAAUCCCCGGGCUCAACCUGGGAACUGCAUCCUAGACUGGGAGACUAGAGUGCUGGAGAGGGUGGUAGAAUUCCACGUGUAGCGGUGAAAUGCGUAGAGAUGUGGAGGAAUACCAGUGGCGAAGGCGGCCACCUGGACAGUAACUGACGCUGAGGCGCGAAAGUGUGGGUAGCAAAC